GAUGAACGCUGGCGGCGCGCCUAACACAUGCAAGUCGAACGAUUAAAGCACCUUCGGGUGUGUAUAAAGUGGCGAACGGCUGAGUAACACGUGGGCAACCUGCCCCUUUCAUUGGGAUAGCCACGGGAAACCGUGGAUAAUACCGAAUACUUCGAGACUUCCGCAUGGAAGACUCGAGAAGGCUCCGGCGGAGAGGGAUGGGCCCGCGGCCUGUUAGCUUGUUGGUGGGGUAACGGCCUACCAAGGCAAUGAUGGGUAGCUGGGUUGAGAGACCGACCAGCCAGAUUGGGACUGAGACACGGCCCAGACGCCUACGGGAGGCAGCAGUGGGGAAUCUUGCACAAUGGGCGAAAGCCUGAUGCAGCGACGCCGCGUGCGGGAUGAAGGCCUUCGGGUUGUAAACCGCUUUCAGCAGGGACGAGGCGAAAGUGACGGUACCUGCAGAAGAAGCCCCGGCUAACUACGUG
rnacentral:rRNA from 1 species